rnacentral:misc_RNA from 1 species
ACGAAUUCAAAGUCGGUCGACUGUGCUGGCAGCAAUGCAUGUGCACGUCGGCCGCAAAUCCACACACCUGUGCACCUCAGACUUUGGGAUCCGCUCUCCUCGCGGUUUGCAGUCGGUGGCCAUCCGUUGGUCGCCUGGGUCCCGAAGUAUUUUACACACACUCGUGAAUGUAAUUGUAUGUCUUCGUGCUUAACCGCGCAAAAACUUAUA